AGUAGCAAUACUUAGUGGCAGACGGGUGAGUAACAUGUAGGUAUCUGCCCUUUGGCCUGGAAUAACACGAGGAAACUUGUGCUAAUACCGGAUAAGUCUUUACGGAGAAAGCUUUAUGCACCAUUGGAUGAGCCUGCACUUGAUUAGUUUGUUGGUGGGGUAAUGGCCCACCAAAACUGUGAUCAAUAGCUGAUUUGAGAGGAUGAUCAGCCACAUUGGGACUGAGACACGGCCCAAACUCCUACGGGAGGCAGCAGUGGGGAAUCUUGCACAAUGGAGGAAACUCUGAUGCAGCGAUGCCGCGUGAGUGAAGAAGGCCUUUGGGUUGUAAAGCUCUCUCGUCGGGGAAGAAAAUGACUGUACCCGAAUAAGAAGGUCCGGCUAACUUCGUGCCAGCAGCCGCGGUAAUACGAAGGGACCUAGCGUAGUUCGGAAUUACUGGGCUUAAAGAGUUCGUAGGUGGUUGAAAAAGUUGGUGGUGAAAUCCCAGAGCUUAACUCUGGAACUGCCAUCAAAACUUUUCAGCUAGAGUGUGAUAGAGGAAAGCAGAAUUUCUAGUGUAGAGGUGAAAUUCGUAGAUAUUAGAAAGAAUACCAAUUGCGAAGGCAGCUUUCUGGAUCAUUACUGACACUGAGGAACGAAAGCAUGGGUAGCGAAGAGGAUUAGAUACCCUCGUAGUCCAUGCCGUAAACGAUGUGUGUUAGACGUUGGAAAUUUAUUUUCAGUGUCGCAGCGAAAGCGAUAAACACACCGCCUGGGGAGUACGACCGCAAGGUUAAAACUCAAAUGAAUUGACGGGGACCCGCACAAGUAGUGGAGCAUGUGGUUUAAUUCGAAGAUACGCGCAGAACCUUACCAACACUUGACAUGUUCGUCGCGACUCUAAGAGAUUAGAGUUUUCGGUUCGGCCGGACGAAACACAGGUGCUGCAUGGCUGUCGUCAGCUCGUGUCGUGAGAUGUUGGGUUAAGUCCCGCAACGAGCGCAACCCUCACUUUUAGUUGCCAUCAUUAAGUUGGGCACUCUGAAAGAACUGCCAGUGAUAAGCUGGAGGAAAGGUGGGGAUGACGUCAAGUCCUCAUGGCCCUUA
rnacentral:rRNA from 1 species